rnacentral:lncRNA from 1 species
GUCUACUUGGCAUCAUCAGAACACAGUUCUCCCACCACAGAAAGCCCUGGAAACUCCAACACACCUGAAAAGCAAGACUCUGAUUUAAAAAUCACAUCUCAUGAUGAUGAUAGGGGUUUUAAAGAAGGACAUAAAUAACUCCCUUAAAGAAACACAGAAGAACACAGGUAAACAGCUAGAAGCCCUUAAAGAGGUAACAAACGUCCCUUAAAGAAUUAAAGAAAAACACAACCAAACAGGUGAAGGAAUUGAACAAAACCAUCCAGGAUCUAAGAAUGGAAAUAGACACAAUAAAGAAAUCACAAAGGGAGACAGCCCUGGAGAUAGAAAACCUAAGAAAGAGAUCAGGAGUCAUAGAUGCAAGCAUCACCAACAGAAUACAAGAGAUAGAAGAGGGAAUCUCAGUUGGGGAAGAUACCAUAGGAAACAUUGACACACAUUCAAAGAAGAUACAAAAUGCAAAAAGCUCCUAACUCAAAAUCCAGGAAAUCCAGGACACAAUGAUACAGACCAAACCUAAGGAUAAUAGGUAUAGAAGAGAGUGAAUAGUCCCACCUUAAAGGGCCAGUAAAUAUCUUCAACAAAAUUAUAGAAGAAAACUUCCCUAACCUAAAGAAAGAGAUGCCUAUAAACAUACAAGAAGCCUACAGAUCUCCAAAUAGAUUGGACCAGAAAAGAAAUCACUCUUGUCACAUAAUAGUCAAAACACCAAAUGCACAAAACAAAGAAUAUUAAAAGCAGUCAUGGAAAAAGGUCAAGUAACAUAUAAAGGCAAACUUAUAAGAAUUACAUCAGACUUCUCACCAGAAACUAUGUAAGCUAGAAGAUCCUGGGCAGAUGUUAUACAGACCCUAAGAGAACACAAAUGCUAGCCCAGGCUACUAUACCCAGCAAAAGUCUCAAUUACCAUAGAUGGAGAAACCAAGAUAUUCUAUGACAAAAACAAAUUUAGACAAUAUCUUUCCACAAAUGCAGCCCUACAAAGGAUAAUAGAUGGAAAACUCUAACACAAGGAGGGAAACUACACCCUAGAAAAAGCAAGUAAGUAAUCUUCUUUCAACAAACCCCAAAGAAGAUAGUCACACAAACAUAAAAAUAACAUCACAAAUAACAGGAAGCAAAAAUCAGUAUUCUUUAAUAUCGCUUAACAUCAAUGGACUCAAUUUCCCAAUAAAAAGACAUAGACUAACUGACUUGAUACAUAAACAGGACCUAGCAUUUUGCUGCAUACAGGAAACACACCUCAGUGACAAAGACAGAUACUACCUCAAAGUAAAAGACUGGAAAAUAAUUUUCCAAGCAAAUGGUCCCAAGAAACAAGCUGGAGUAGCCAUUCUAAUAUUGAAUAAAAUUGACUUUCAAUGGAAAGUUAUCAAAAAAGAUAAGGAAUAUAUCUAGAAGAUGUUCCAACAUGUAAUAAGGACACAUGCUCCACUAUGUUCAUAGCAGAUAUAUUUAUACUAGCCAGAAGCUGGGAAAAACCCAGAUAUCUCUCAACAGAGGAAUGUGUUCAGAAAAUGUGGUACAUUUACACAAUAGAAUACUAUUCAGCUAUUAUAAACAAUGACUUCAGUAAAUUCUCAGGAAAAUGGAUGGAUCUAGAAAAUAUCAUCCUGAGUGAGGUAACUCAAUAACAAAAGUCCACACAUGGUAUGUACUCACUGAUAAGUGGAUAUUAGGUAAAGAGCAUGGAAUACCAUGCUUUCUCUCUCUCUCUCUCUCUCUCUCUCUCUCUCUCUCUCUCUCUCUCAGCAUGGAUACAACUUACAGACCACAUGAAGCUCAAGAGGAAGGAAGACCAAAGAGUGGAUGCUUCAGUCCUACUUAGAAGGGGAAAUAAAAUAAUCUAGGGAAGUAGAGGGUGGGAAAGACUUGGGAGGAACAGGGGGAGGGGGAAGAAAAGAGGGGGGCAGAAUCAGGUAUGGGAGGAGAUGGAGGAAAUGUACAGAGGGUCAGGAAAUUGAACAGAGGUGUGUAGCAAUGGGGGAUGGGAGACUGGGGAUAGCAAUCAGAAAGUCCCAGAUGCCAGGAAAGCAAGAACCUCUCAGAACCCCACAGGGAUGGCAUUAGCUGAAAUACCCCAAAAGGGGAGGGAACAUCUGUCAAACCAUAUCCAGAGGUUAAGCAUGGCCCCCAGUUGAAGCAUGGGGUCACCCACCCAUUUCUAAAAUUUUAACCCAGAAUUGCUCCUGUCUUAAGGAAAUACAGGGACAAAGAGUGGAACAGAGACUGAAGGAAAGGCCAUCUAGAGACUACCCCAUCUGAGGUCCAUCUCUCAUGCAGACACCAAACCCAGACACUACUGUGAAUGCCAAGAAGUGCUUGCUGACAGGAGUCUGAUAAAGCUGUCUUCUGAGAGGCUCUGCCAGAUCCUGACCAAUACAGAUGUGGAUGCUCACAGCCAACCAUUGGACUGAACACAGGGACCACAAUGGAGGAGUUAGGGGAAGGACUGAAGGGGCGUCAAUGGGAGGGGAGGCCCUGGGUCCUGUGAAGGCUUGAUGACCCAGUGCAGAAGAAUGCUAAGGGUGGUGAGGUGGGAAUGUAGAUGGGUGGGUGGGGGAGCACCCUCACAGAAGCAGAGUAAAGGGGAUGGGAUAGGGGAUUUGCAGAGGGGAAACCAGGAAAGGGGAUGAUGAAAUGUAAAUAAAUAAAAUAUUCAAUUAAAAAAAUUGCACGCAUGCACAUGCAUGCAUGCACACACUCAA